rnacentral:rRNA from 1 species
AUACGGAGGAUGCGAGCGUUAUCCGGAUUUAUUGGGUUUAAAGGGUGCGUAGGCUGUGCGUUAAGUCAGGGGUGAAAUGCCGUCGCUCAACGACGGAGCUGCCCUUGAUACUGGCGCGCUGGAGUACGGAUGCCGUUGGAGGAAUGAGUGGUGUAGCGGUGAAAUGCUUAGAUAUCACUCAGAACACCGAUUGCGAAGGCAUCUGACGAAUCCGUCACUGACGCUGAGGCACGAAAGCGUGGGGAUAGAACAGGAUUAGAUACCCUGGUAUUCCACGCCGUAAACGAUGAUGACUAACCGUCGGCGAUAGACAGCCGGUGGCCAAGCGAAAGCGAUAAGUCAUCCACCUGGGGAGUACGUCGGCAACGAUGAAACUCAAAUGAAUUGACGGGG